GACGAACGCUGGCGGCGUGCUUAACACAUGCCAGUCGAACGGAAAGGCCUAGCUUGCUGGGUACUCGAGUGGCGAACGGGUGAGUAACACGGGGGUGAUCUGCCCCUGACUUUGGGAUAAGCCUGGGAAACGGGGUCUAAUACCGGAUAUUCAUUUUUCCUCGCAUGGGGAUUUGUGGAAAGCUUUUGCGGUUGGGGAUGGGCCCGCGGCCUAUCAGCUUGUUGGUGGGGUAAUGGCCUACCAAGGCGACGACGGGUAGCCGACCUGAGAGGGUGAUCGGCCACACUGGGACUGAGAGACGGCCCAGACUCCUACGGGAGGCAGCAGUGGGGAAUAUUGCACAAUGGGCGCAAGCCUGAUGCAGCGACGCCGCGUGAGGGAUGACGGCCUUCGGGUUGUAAACCUCUUUCAGCUCCGACGAAGCGCAAGUGACGGUAGGAGCAGAAGAAGCACCGGCCAACUACGUG
rnacentral:rRNA from 1 species